rnacentral:rRNA from 1 species
GUUGGAAAGAUUUUUCGGUUUGGGAUGGGCUCGCGGCCUAUCAGCUUGUUGGUGAGGUAAUGGCUCACCAAGGCGUCGACGGGUAGCCGGCCUGAGAGGGUGACCGGCCACACUGGGACUGAGACACGGCCCAGACUCCUACGGGAGGCAGCAGUGGGGAAUAUUGCACAAUGGGCGGAAGCCUGAUGCAGCAACGCCGCGUGAGGGAUGACGGCCUUCGGGUUGUAAACCUCUUUUAGCAGGGAAGAAGCGAAAGUGACGGUACCUGCAGAAAAAGCGCCGGCUAACUACGUGCCAGCAGCCGCGGUAAUACGUAGGGCGCAAGCGUUAUCCGGAAUUAUUGGGCGUAAAGAGCUCGUAGGCGGUUUGUCGCGUCUGCUGUGAAAACCCGAGGCUCAACCUCGGGCCUGCAGUGGGUACGGGCAGACUAGAGUGCGGUAGGGGAGAUUGGAAUUCCUGGUGUAGCGGUGGAAUGCGCAGAUAUCAGGAGGAACACCGAUGGCGAAGGCAGAUCUCUGGGCCGUAACUGACGCUGAGGAGCGAAAGGGUGGGGAGCAAACAGGCUUAGAUACCCUGGUAGUCCACCCCGUAAACGUUGGGAACUAGUUGUGGGGUCCAUUCCACGGAUUCCGUGACGCAGCUAACGCAUUAAGUUCCCCGCCUGGGGAGUACGGCCGCAAGGCUAAAACUCAAAGGAAUUGACGGGGACCCGCACAAGCGGCGGAGCAUGCGGAUUAAUUCGAUGCAACGCGAAGAACCUUACCAAGGCUUGACAUACACGAGAACGCUGCAGAAAUGUAGAACUCUUUGGACACUCGUGAACAGGUGGUGCAUGGUUGUCGUCAGCUCGUGUCGUGAGAUGUUGGGUUAAGUCCCGCAACGAGCGCAACCCUCGUUCUAUGUUGCCAGCACGUAAUGGUGGGAACUCAUGGGAUACUGCCGGGGUCAACUCGGAGGAAGGUGGGGAUGACGUCAAAUCAUCAUGCCCCUUAUGUCUUGGGCUUCACGCAUGCUACAAUGGCCGGUACAAAGGGCUGCAAUACCGCGAGGUGGAGCGAAUCCCAAAAAGCCGGUCCCAGUUCGGAUUGAGGUCUGCAACUCGACCUCAUGAAGUCGGAGUCGCUAGUAAUCGCAGAUCAGCAACGCUGCGGUGAAUACGUUCCC